rnacentral:tRNA from 1 species
GGGGUCGUGGCCAAGCUGGUUAAGGCGCUCUUGGGUUUCUCUGGAGAAGAGAGGCGAUGGUUCAAAUCCAUCCGACUCCA